rnacentral:rRNA from 1 species
UACGGAGGAUGCGAGCGUUAUCCGGAUUUAUUGGGUUUAAAGGGAGCGCAGACGGGAGAUUAAGUCAGCUGUGAAAGUUUGCGGCUCAACCGUAAAAUUGCAGUUGAUACUGGGUCCCUUGAGUGCGGCAGAGGCAGGCGGAAUUCGUGGUGUAGCGGUGAAAUGCUUAGAUAUCACGAAGAACUCCGAUUGCGAAGGCAGCCUGCUGGACUGUAACUGACGCUGAUGCUCGAAAGUGUGGGUAUCAAACAGG